rnacentral:rRNA from 1 species
UUGAUCUGAAGUCAAGUGGGAGUACCCGCUGAACUUAA